rnacentral:rRNA from 1 species
AGCGAACGCUGGCGGCAGGCCUAACACAUGCAAGUCGAACGAACUCUUCGGAGUUAGUGGCGGACGGGUGAGUAACACGUGGGAACGUGCCUUUUGGUUCGGAAUAACUCAGGGAAACUUGUGCUAAUACCGAAUGUGCCCUUCGGGGGAAAGAUUUAUCGCCAUUAGAGCGGCCCGCGUCUGAUUAGCUAGUUGGUGAGGUAACGGCUCACCAAGGCGACGAUCAGUAGCUGGUCUGAGAGGAUGACCAGCCACACUGGGACUGAGACACGGCCCAGACUCCUACGGGAGGCAGCAGUGGGGAAUCUUGCGCAAUGGGCGAAAGCCUGACGCAGCCAUGCCGCGUGAAUGAUGAAGGUCUUAGGAUUGUAAAAUUCUUUCACCGGGGACGAUAAUGACGGUACCGGGAGAAGAAGCCCCGGCUAACUUCGUG